CCCCUCCUUUCGGGAUUACAUGAACUAAAGAAAUGGAGGCAAUUAGCCACAUCAGGUUUCUGGGAUCAAGCUAUCACAAGAGACCUUGGGGAGCCAAGAGCACAAGGGUUCCUCAUAUUUAUUAAUGUGAAGAACUCAAACAGUUACAGUCUCCAGAAGAAAAAUGAGACUUAAGAACCCAAGCAUUUGUUUAAAUCAGCCAGACUUACCACAGCUGAUAAACUGCUGUCUGCUGAAAUAGAGGUGGCAGCAAAAGUGCAGAGAUUUCCCUCCCUCCACAAAGAGGGGACUAAAAAUGUUGAGGUAGACACAGCUGAGCAGGGGUCACGAAGUAAUUCUCUCUUUUAGAGGAAGGGUGCUGGUUUGAUCCUGCCCUCAGACUCUCCUGAUAAGGACCAGGAAGGCUCUCAUUGGUUUCUGCAGUCCUGGUCUCAGCUAGAAUCACUUACAAAUGCAAAUACAAGGGAAUACCUGGUUCUUUGUUAGCCAUUUCUUUCACAGCAAAUGUAACCUAUUGGGAAACCUGUCAUCAGCUGUGCAGUAAAAGCUCCUGUUCUGCAGAUCAAGUCACUUCCUUGAUAUUUCAGAGAUCUUGUAGCAAGAAGAAAAGAAAGCUUCUAAG